rnacentral:rRNA from 1 species
CAUGGUUGUCGUCAGCUCGUGCCGUGAGGUGUCGGUUAAGUCCCAUAACGAGCGCAACCCUUAUCGUUAGUUGCCAGCUGGUAAAGCAGGGGACUCUAGCGAAACUGCCACCGUAAGGUGAGAGGAAGGUGGGGAUGACGUCAAAUCAGCACGGCCCUUAUGUCCAGGGCUACACACGUGUUACAAUGGCCGGCACAGAGGGCAGCUACCUGGUGACAGGAUGCUAAUCUCGAAAACCGGUCUCAGUUCGGAUCGAAGUCUGCAACUCGACUUCGUGAAGCUGGAUUCGCUAGUAAUCGCGCAUCAGCCAUGGCGCGGUGAAUACGUUCCCGGGCCUU